rnacentral:rRNA from 1 species
AUGCACGCAUACCUCACCGGCCCCGACUACCACUUCGACCUCGACCUCGUCGCGGGGAGGCCUCCGCCUACGCCCGCGCCGCCGCCGCCACCGGUGCCUAGGUCUUUGACAUCGAUGAGACGCUCCUCUCCAACUUCCCCUACUAUGCAUAGCACGGAUACGGGCUGGAGUUGUUCGACCACCAGGAGUUCGGCCGGUGGGUGGAGACGGGGGAGGCACCGACGAUUCUCUCCAGCCUCUGCCUCUACAGGGAGGUCCGCGACCUCGGCUUCAAGACCUUCCUGCUCAUCGGCUACAGCGAGGCCCACGAGGGUAGAAAGAGCUGCCAUGGAUCUUCUAUGUAUGCAAUCACAAAAGCCUUCUGUGUUGCUUUUGUCAUGA